rnacentral:rRNA from 1 species
UCUAAGGCCGUCCGAGUUGUAGUCUAGAGAAGCGUUUUCUGUGCUGGACCGUGUACAAGUCCCUUGGAAUAGGGCGUCAUAGAGGGUGAGAAUCCCGUCUUUGACACGGACUACCUGUGCUUUGUGAUGCGCUCUCGAAGAGUCGAGUUGUUUGGGAAUGCAGCUCAAAAUGGGUGGUAAAUUCCAUCUAAAGCUAAAUAUUGGCGAGAGACCGAUAGCGAACAAGUACCGUGAGGGAAAGAUGAAAAGCACUUUGGAAAGAGAGUUAAACAGUACGUGAAAUUGUUGAAAGGGAAACGAUUGGAGUCAGUCGCGUCUCCCGAGACUCAGCCUGCCAGUUGGUGGUGGGUGUAUUUCUCGGAUCUUGACGGGCCAGCAUCGAUUUCAAUUGUUAGAAAAGGGUAGAGGGAAUGUGGCACCCAUUGGGUGUGUUAUAGCCCUUUAUCAUAUCUAACAGUUGGGAUCGAGGAUAGCAGCACGCCUUAAUUGGCCGGGGUUCGCCCACGUAACGUGCUUAGGAUGCUGGCGUAAUGGAUUCAAACGACCCGUCUUG